UACGGAAGGCAGCAGUGGGGAAUAUUGCACAAUGGGCGAAAGCCUGAUGCAGCUAUGCCGCGUGUAUGAAGAAGGCCUUAGGGUUGUAAAGUACUUUCAUCGGGGAGGAAAAAACAAAACUAAUAAUUUUAUUUCUUGACGUUACCCGAAAAAGAAGCACCGGCUAACUCCGUGCCAGCAGCCGCGGUAAUACGGAGGGUGCUAGCGUUAAUCAGAAUUACUGGGCGUAAAGAGCACGUAGGGUGGUUUUUUUAAGUCAGAUGUGAAAUCCCUGGGCUUAACCUAGGAACUGCAUUUUGAAACUGAAAUACUAGAGUAUCGUAGAGGGAGGUAGAAUUCUAGGUGUAGCGGUGGAAAUGCGUAGAUAUCUGGAGGAAUACCUGUGGCGAAAGCGGCCUCCUAAACGAAUACUGACACUGAGGUGCGAAAGCGUGGGGAGCGAAACAGGAUUAGAUACC
rnacentral:rRNA from 1 species